CAAAGGGGGGAUGGCCUUAGUACGGCGAGUGAAGCGGCAAAAGCUCAAAUUUGAAAUCUGGCACCUUCGGUGUCCGAGUUGUAAUUUGAAGAAGGUAACUUUGGAGUUGGCUCUUGUCUAUGUUCCUUGGAACAGGACGUCACAGAGGGUGAGAAUCCCGUGCGAUGAGAUGCCCAAUUCUAUGUAAAGUGCUUUCGAAGAGUCGAGUUGUUUGGGAAUGCAGCUCUAAGUGGGUGGUAAAUUCCAUCUAAAGCUAAAUAUUGGCGAGAGACCGAUAGCGAACAAGUACAGUGAUGGAAAGAUGAAAAGAACUUUGAAAAGAGAGUGAAAAAGUACGUGAAAUUGUUGAAAGGGAAGGGCUUGAGAUCAGACUUGGUAUUUUGCGAUCCUUUCCUUCUUGGUUGGGUUCCUCGCAGCUUACUGGGCCAGCAUCGGUUUGGAUGGUAGGAUAAUGACUAAGGAAUGUGGCUCUACUUCGGUGGAGUGUUAUAGCCUUGGUUGAUACUGCCUGUCUAGACCGAGGACUGCGUCUUUUGACUAGGAUGUUGGCAUAAUGAUCUUAAGCCACCCGUCUAACACCCGGGACCCAAAAAAAAAUUUAAAAU
rnacentral:rRNA from 1 species